rnacentral:rRNA from 1 species
AGCAGCCGCGGUAAUUCCAGCUCCAAUAGCGUAUAUUAAAGUUGUUGCAGUUAAAAAGCUCGUAGUUGAAUUUCGAGAUCAGUACGCUGGUCGUGCCUUCGGUAUGCACUGGUGUCACUGGUUUCUCCCUUCUGAAGAACCGUCAUGUCAUUAAGUUGGUGUGGCGGGGAAUCAGGACUGUUACUUUGAAAAAAUUAGAGUGUUUAAAGCAGGCUCGCGCUUGAAUACAUUAGCAUGGAAUAAUGAAAUAGGACGUUUGACCCUAUUUUGUUGGUUUCUAGGAUCGACGUAAUGAUUAAUAGGGAUAGUUGGGGGCAUUAGUAUUCAAUUGUCAGAGGUGAAAUUCUUGGAUUUAUUGAAGACUAACUACUGCGAAAGCAUUUGCCAAGGAUGUUUUCAUUAAUCAAGAACGAAAGUUAGGGGAGUCGAAGACGAUCAGAUACCGUCGUAGUCUUAACCAUAAACUAUGCCGACUAGGGAUCGGAUGAUGUUAAUUUUUAA